CCGGUUCAAGAGAGUCUUCUGCCUCAGCCUCCCGAGUAGCUGGGAUUACAGGCGCCCGCCACCACGCCCUGCUAAUUUUUUUUUUUUUUUUUUGAACAGGAGUUCACCAAUUUGGACAGGCUUGUCUCGAACUCCUGACCUCAAGUGAUCUACCCGCCUCGGCCUCCCAAAGGGUUGGGCGGGCCUGAGUCACCGGCCCGGCCUGGGGCUUCUCAUUUUUUAAACCAUAUCCAACACGCCUCCCUCCGCACAAUCCUCUGGAUCUCCAGCGACCCAGCUGGGCUUCAGACAAAAAACAGGCAGCAGGUGAAGGUAUUUGCGCCUAAUGUUGAGCAGAUGCUCAUCGUUACUCACUUGAAAGAGAGCCCAACAGAAAGAGGAGCAAUGUGCUGGCGGAAGGUGCCAGGAGAGCCCGGAGGGACGUCCGAGACUUGGCAGACCUGAACUUGAGCGAGCUUGAUGCUGUCAUUCUACCUGGUGAGUUAGCUGAAAACUGUGAGGCCAACUGUUCGUUUUAAUUAAGGCUCACGACUCUAAAACCUUCUUUCCCAAGAAGUGGUGCAGGCUCAGCUGCCAUUUUGAAAUCUUCUGUGCCUGGCUCCAGGUCUGUGGUUCUCAAACUGCUGUACGUGAGAAUUACCUAGAGCUUUUAAAAACUCCAGUUGCAUGGGUCAUACCUGAGACCAGCGACAUGAGACUCUCUGGGGGUGGAAACCAGUAUUAGUGUUUAUGCUCCCCAAGUGAUUUCCCAGUCGAGGGUGCCCUAUCGAGGGUGACCAGUGGGUCUCAAAGUUGGCUGCACAUUGGAAUCACCUGGUAGGCUUCAAAACCAUCAAUCCCUGUGUCCCACAUCCAGAGAUGGUGAUUUCGUUGGUCUAGGGUAUGGCCUGGAUUUCAGAAUUUUAAAAAGAUUCCCAGAUGAUUCUCAUGUGCAGAUAAGUUUGGGAACUACUGCUCUAUGCCAGUACUUCUUCAACUUCAGUGGAUGCGUGACUCACCUGGAGAUCUUGUUACAAUGCAGAUUCUGAUUCGGCUUCCAGGCAACAGGUGGGGUGUUGCAGGCAGAUCACCCUUUGAGGCCUUCAGACUUUGAAAAUCACUAGAGGUUUUGCCUGUUUCUGGAGCUUUUCAGGGCAGAAAUCAGUUUUAGAUUGGUAACACUCCCUUUUCAAAUAAAAGAUUUAAAAUUAGACUUUUAUUUGACUUAUGCUCAGUAAAACCAUAAAUCAAUCUUUUAUUGAAAUAAAUUGAAAUAAAAGAUUGAUUUACUAGGCUGGGCAUGGUGGCUCACACCUGUAAUCCCAGCACUUUGGGAGGCUGAGGUGAGCAGAUCACUUGAGGUCAGGAGUCUGAGGUCAACCUGGCCAGCAUGGUGGAACCCCAUCUCUACUAAAAAUACAAAAAAUUAUCUGGGUGUGGUGGCAUGUGCUUGUGAUCCCAGCUACUCAGGAGGCUGAGGCAGGAGAAUCUCUUGAGCCCGGGAGGCAGAGGUUGCAAUGAGCCAAGAUUGUGCAACCGCACUCCAGCCUGGGCAACAGAUUGAGACUCCGCCUCACCAAAAAAAAAAAAAAAAAAAAAAGAUUUAUUUACUUAAAUAAAAGAUUCAUGUAUGAGUACAAUUUUCUCAGAUAUUUUUCUUUGACUUCUUUUUGUUUAAUUC
ensembl:lncRNA